GAUGUUGGGUUAUAUCUCGUACAGAGAGCAACCCUUGUCCUUAGUUACCAGCACGUUAUGGUGGGCACUCUAAGGAGACUGCCGGUGACAAACCGGAGGAAGGUGGGGAUGACGUCAAAUCAUCAUGCCCCUUAUGACCUGGGCUACACACGU
rnacentral:rRNA from 1 species